ensembl:lncRNA
UCCUCCCAUCCAUCCGUCCUUCCAUCCGUCCGUCCAUCCAUCCAUCCAUCCACACAUCCAACAUCUUCCUGUCCACCUGUCUGUCCAUCCACCCAUCUCCCCACCCGUCCACAUAUCCACCCCCCACCCACCCCUCCACCCCUCCACCCACCCCUCCAUCCCUCUGUUCCCGGGGUCCCAUUGGUGCCGGUGUCGUAGCAGAGCAGCAGUGCCACCACCCAAGGGUUAAGGGAUCGGCGUUGCCAUGGCGUUGGUGGCACUCGGUGGCAUUCGCCCUCCUGAUCCCAAUAAAAGCCGCCCGUUGGCCUCGUGUGGGGCGCAGCGCUGUGUGCGGAUCAGAGCCACAAUGCUGUGUGUCCCACAGCUCCCGGAGCUGCUGCUGCUGGCGGCCCUCACUGCCACCGCCCGGGGACAGAGUGAGUGCCACCGCUGCCACCCCCCCAGCGCACAGCCUGGGCUCAGGGUGGUAGGAUUGGGGGUUGGGGGGGUGCUGUGUUCUCCCACGGGGAUGGGUUGGGGGUGCUGAGGGGGGUCGGCACCGCGCCGUCCCCACUGCCCACAGUGCCCCCCAGCACUGAGCUCGGUGCGCUCAGCUCCCCGCACCCAGGAUGGAGUGCUGUCCCCUGCGGGACUGGGGUCUCCUGGUGCUGUCACCGUUGUCCUCGACCCCAUCCAUGUCCCCGUUGCGGCCCCUGACCUCACUCCUGUCCCUGUCCUCACCCCAUUCCCAUCCCCGUCCCCAUCCCCCUCGAUGUCCCUUAUCCCCAUCCCCCGUCCUGUCCCCAUUGCUGUCCCUAUUGCCAUCACCAUCCAUCCCCAUUGCUGUCCCCAUUGUCAUCCCUAUCCCAAACUCCUGCCCCCAUCCCUAUCCCUGUCCCCAUCCGUGCCCCCAUCCCUACUGCUCUCCCUUUCCCCACUGCUGUCUCUGACCCCUUCCCUACCCCCGUUCCCAUUCCCUGUUCCUACACCUGUCCCCGUCCCCAUCCCACUCUCCAUCCCCUUCUCCUGUCCCAAUCCCUAUCGUUGUCCACACUCCAUUCCUGUCCCAUUCCCAUCCCCAUUCCCAUCCCUGUCCCAUUCCCACCCCCAUCCCUGACCCCAUCCCUGUUCCCUGACCCCCAUCCCCAUCCCCAUCCCCAUCCCCAUCGUUUGUUCCCAUCCCCACCGCCGCCCCCCCCCCAUCCCUCAACUCACCGCUGUCCCCACUGCCGCUGCUGCCCACCCCACGUCCGUCCCCCUUCCCUUCCGUCCCCAUCCGCACCCACACCCCCACUCGUGUCCCCGCUGUCCCGCAGCCGUGGGCUCCCAGCAGCUGCAGCCGUGGCUGAUCGGUCUCACGGCGGUGGUGGUUUUCCUAUUCGUGGUGUUUGUGCUGCUGCUCGUGGGGCGGCUUUGGCGGCUGCGGACGCGCAGAGAACACGAGGACUCCUCGGAGCAGCAACCCGCCCACAGCAUGGAGCGCGCAGCGUACAGCAACGCCGCGGCCGAGAAGGACAGCGACGACGAACGGGAGAAGAGCAAAGCCACGUCGCUGUGACACGCGUGGGCUGCCCGGGCCCGGCGGUUCCGCGCCGCGUUUUGCGGAGCGCUCCUCGGCCGGCGGCAAAACCCGG